rnacentral:ncRNA from 1 species
CUCAGUCGGAGGUAGGUCCAGCGGCUGGAAGAGCACCGCACGUCGCGCGGUGUCCGGUGCGCCCCCGGCGGCCCAUGAAAUCCGGAGGACCGAGUGCCAUCCACGCCCGGUCGUACUCAUACCGCAUCAGGUCUCCAAGGUGAACAGCCUCUGGUCAAGGAACAAUGUAGGCAAGGGAAGUCGGCAAAAUGGAUCCGUACCUCGGGAAAAGGAUUGGCUCUGAGGGCUGGGCCCGGGGGUCCCAGUCCCGAACCCGUCGGCUGUCGGCGGACUGCUCGAGCUGCUCCCGCGGCGAGAGCGGGUCGCCGCGUGUCGGCCGGGGGACGGACUGGGAACGGCCUCUUCGGGGGCCUUCCCCGGGCGUCGAACAGUCGAUCAGAACUGGUCGG